AUACAGCAGAGCUAGCUGGGAGGUGGGAUGGGAGCAGAGAAGUGGGUGAGAACCUCUGCUUGGUGGUGUUUAGACGAGGCUUCAGGAAGGCUCUGAGCUAAGACCUGAGGAGAGUGAAGGUGUUCACCAGGUGAAGAGGUGGGGGAAGAUGUCCCAAGCAGAGGAACCAGUUUGAGAAGAGAGAUGUACCUUAACAAGAUGAAAGAUGCUGACAGCCGUGUGGAGGACGGAUCGGAGGAGGCAGUGAUUAGAGGGAGGGAGAUCAUUAGGAGGUGAUGUCAGUUGUCUGCAGAAGGAAACCUCAGCAUCUCAGCAAGAGCAGCUGCCUGUGAUUGACGAGAGGUGGGUAAGGGACCUGAGGCACAGCAGCUGUCAUCUUUGCAGACUGCAGAGUUUUUCAGGCUCUAAAAGCAUUGCUUGUGUGCUUGGUGACUGAAGGGAGACCAACCCAGGAAACAUCCUCAGGAAAUGAAGCAUGGACAGCAAAAUGAAAAGCUCAUAUUUAGUAAUCCCAUGAAGACUUAAUCACAGAUUUGUCUUGACUUUCAAGGGCUUAGAACCGUGGCCACCACGGAGGGGCCCCUCUUCGGAUGUGGGUGUGUAAGGAGGGCGGCGCUGCCUCUGUCGGGGGCAGAGAAUAAAGACAAUGCUGGGAACCGAGCUGGAGAAUGAAAGCCCAAAGCCAGAGGGAAGAGCUCCGGCCGAGAAGGUGAGGCAGUAACGAGUGAAGUGGGUGACUGCAGGAUGCUGUACAAUCACACGGUUUUUAUUUUUCUGCUUUUCAUGAUGGAAAGCUUUCCCAGUGAUGAGACCUGCCUCCCUCUUACAUUUCACUUUGUGGUCUGCCCUUUCAAUUUGGGCGUCUCUUUUGGGCAGUCAUGGUCUCAUAGGCUGUGUUGGCAGAACUUGGGUAGGAUACAAACAUCUUUCUCAAGAUGACCUUGCCACAUCCUGUCAAUACCAGCUGUUUGCCGUGUAAUUUAGUUUCUCCAGUCCCUAUCUACUUUGUCUUCCCAGGAAGACCGAAAACUCCCUGGAAAGGACAACCCGUCUUGGCAUUCCCAGCCUAUCAGAGGUUCUCAGCACACGUUUGGUGAGAGAGCUAUUGUGUACGCUCCCUAAAAAUCCACAAGAUGGCCCAGGUUCUACUGUCACACAUACCCCAGCUAUCCCCACCACCUCUUUACUCCACCACCAUCUGCACCCUGUGAUGAAAAGCUGGAUUGUUUAUGCAAAGAACUUUCUCCAUGAUUUUCAUGGUGGCUAUUCCAUACGGCACACUUAAUGUGACUGGAUAACCAGGCAGACCGCAGGAUCCUUGCGAAACACAGCCUCCAGAGGCUUCUUGUAUUUAUUGGCAAGAGGGAACAAUACAGGUUGCUGGUGCACCUUUUACAUCCAGGAAAAUAAUCACAAAAAGCAUGAGUGUAAGUUAGAUAAGAAAUGAGUCACACAGAUGUCCCCCCAGAUACCUGCAGAGUCAGUGUGUCUGGAGGAGGGAGGCAGCGGAGAGAGAGAGCAGGGUGGGCAGGAAACCGGUGGGAAGAAGAAAGCUCCCUGGAAUAGAUGUCUGGGUCCUGGGUGGCCAGGGUGACUGCUCGGUCCUAAAACAAAGCAGCACCUCCCUCAGUGCUGGGGUCAGGAUUCCUGUGCCCUACAAGACAGCUCACUGUCGGGUGGGAAGAAAAUGUAGAUGCUCUCACAUUUGCCUCUUUAAUUCCUUCUUUUCAAAAUGUCUACUUUAAAAUACAUUUUAUAAUUGCAAUAAUAUUGGUAUCAUAGUAUAUGCACAUAUUUUAAAAAUAAAUAUUUGUUUAUUGGCAGUGUCUGGUUUUCCCUCUUAAGGCACACAAUGAAAGCAGAGUGGAGAUGUCUGCUACGGUACAAACAAGUCAUCCACCAAGGCUCUGUUUUCAAAGAGCUUACAUUCUAGCUUGGGUGUUAAAAAUACAUAUAUACGUAACGUACAUUCAGGAGCUGUUGUGUCCCUAGAUGCACACGCACAAAGAGCAUGGUCAUGGUUCUCGAAGAUCAGGACAGUAACAAAAAAAAUGAGCAGAAUGGAGAACAAAAAAGAGCGUCCAUUUUGCCAGUAAUAGGAUGGGUCCCCGGGGGGCUGACGUUAUUCUUGUGUGAAUGGGAUUCCUAAUACACCAAAGGAGAGGAGUUUUUAAUGCCUUAUGAAAGGAAAUAGGAAGGAAAUACAGACAUCUUCACAUUGGCUGUCGGGAGCCAUGCCAUCACGGUCCCCCAGGAGGCAGCACGCGUCACUAUAAAGCUGGAGAGAAAGGCGUGGACAAUUCUGAGAACUCCAUUUCUUCACAAAGGCAGCUUGACUUCCCAUGUGACCUGUUCUAGAGAUCUUUCUUCAAGUUAGUGAAAACUAAACAUGCCAGUUCAGAAGUUUGCAAAGGAAUUCAAAUCUGCACAGUAGCUCCCCAGUAGUCAGAGGAAUGUUCUCUCUAUGGAGAACCUGUGCCAAGCUCUUGACAUGACUGCGCUUCUACCUUGUAAAUGACACCUGGGAGUCACAGCGCUGUCAGCUUUCAGAGGAGAACACUGAGCCACAGAGAGCUGCAGUGACUGGCACAAGGUUUCUCAGCUAGCAAGUGCUAACGUGAGAACUCCACCCAGCCCUGCCUGACUCUGCCGGGUCCCACAGCUCUCGAACGCUCUGUAAAAGGGUGCUUAGCUCCUGACGACUCAGUGUGCUUUCUGGUAGCCAGAGUGUGUUACUUCUCUUGCCUCGAGACAUAGUGGCGACUCCUCAGCCCAAUAUUGUUACAUAUACACAUCGAUAUCUGGUAAAUAGCACCAGAUCAGCCGCCAGCAGUCAUCCCAAAUGUUUUAUAAUUCUGCCAUAUGUGUUUGAUUGUGGCAUUACAUCGUCUGUCCUAAUUAAGAUGAAGGGAAUCUCAAUGGAAAUAACCAGUUCCGUGAAUGCCAGAGCCACUCACAGAAUCCCUGUGAACAGCAGGCUUCCCAGCCCCGGGGCUGCUUGUGUAAACUUCCUGAGUGAUUAUACGUCUGCUGCCCACUCCCGUUUUUAGAAUAAUUGCCACUGAAAGUAUUGAAAAAAUAAAUAUCUCUGUCAAAAAUAUACAGACAGGUAAAGCUUACCCAGAAUGCUCAGGGUGGUAGGAAUCAUACAUUUUAGUAAAUUGCAUAUUUGUCCGAAAGCUUUCGACUCCUCCCUGGUCUUCUUUUGGUCCUACAAUUGGUAGGAGGGCUUGGUGUCACAGGAGGCGGAGACAAAUAAGUGGAAAUAUUGUACAUUCUAUCUGGUUGAUCGGUUCUGAUGUGUUAUGACUGAGCACUUUGGUAAAUGAGGCCACAUCUAAGCAAAACUUGGUGAGGAAUGUUUGCCUCCUUUUGGUGGAAAACAUGCAUUUCUAAGUACAGGGGAAUGAAGGUAGCUCCCUUGUUCAAUAAUUAUAUUUCGAAUUUUAAUUUUUUAGUUUUAUGGGCUUUUCUUUUACAAAAUUAAGCGAAAGAAAGUUUCUGACUCCUUAGAAUUGCAUAGUCCACUUGUUGAAAUAUGUCCAUCUUAGUUCGCUCUAUUAGGGCUGGCUAUGCCUGAACUGCCGUCAGGGGCCAAUACACACCUUAGAAUGAUUUGAGCUGACUUCAGAGAAGAAAACAAACAAGCCCUGUCCCAAUGGGGAUGUUCUCCAGCCUUUCAAAGUCACCCAAAACAAGGUUGACAGAGCCAGACUGCUCCACCAGAACCUCCUGGGGGCACUGUACUGUUUCACUUUUCCUUUGCAAGUCCCUGGCACGUUGUCCCUAACCUUCGGAGUCAUAAUAGUUUGGCUCGGUCGUGACUGUCCUUUAAAAGUACCAAACCUGGGCAGGGCUGAGGGGGUGUUUCCCACACUGGUUAUAAGAUAUGACGGAGGAAGGAGGGAGGCUGCUUUUCCUGAGCAGCUGAGGCUCAUUACAGUCCUGAGUCUGUCCCUUACUACCUGUUCUCUGUGCAGACGUCUGUGCACCCCACUGGUCGGUUACAUAUUCAAACCCGGAAAGAGAGAGCUUCCUCAGAUGAAACAUUCUCCUUGGGAAUGUUUACCUUAAAUCCACAAUCUAUUGUUUCCUUAGGAGAUAGAGAAAA